rnacentral:rRNA from 1 species
AGUGAACGCUGGCAGUAGGCCUAACACAUGCAAGUCGAACGGCAGCACAGUAAGAGCUUGCUCUUACGGGUGGCGAGUGGCGGACGGGUGAGGAAUACAUCGGAAUCUACUUUUUCGUGGGGGAUAACGUAGGGAAACUUACGCUAAUACCGCAUACGACCUACGGGUGAAAGCAGGGGAUCUUCGGACCUUGCGCGAUUGAAUGAGCCGAUGUCGGAUUAGCUAGUUGGCGGGGUAAAGGCCCACCAAGGCGACGAUCCGUAGCUGGCCUGAGAGGAUGAUCAGCCACACUGGAACUGAGACACGGUCCAGACUCCUACGGGAGGCAGCAGUGGGGAAUAUUGGACAAUGGGCGCAAGCCUGAUCCAGCCAUACCGCGUGGGUGAAGAAGGCCUUCGGGUUGUAAAGCCCUUUUGUUGGGAAAGAAAAGCAGCAGGUUAAUACCCCGCUGUUCUGACGGUACCCAAAGAAUAAGCACCGGCUAACUUCGUG